rnacentral:rRNA from 1 species
UACGAAGGGGGCUAGCGUUGCUCGGAAUCACUGGGCGUAAAGGGUGCGUAGGCGGGUCUUUAAGUCAGGGGUGAAAUCCUGGAGCUCAACUCCAGAACUGCCUUUGAUACUGAAGAUCUUGAGUUCGGGAGAGGUGAGUGGAACUGCGAGUGUAGAGGUGAAAUUCGUAGAUAUUCGCAAGAACACCAGUGGCGAAGGCGGCUCACUGGCCCGAUACUGACGCUGAGGCACGAAAGCGUGGGGAGCAAACAGGAUUAGAAACCCCUAGUA